rnacentral:rRNA from 1 species
CCCUUAGAUGUUCUGGGCCGCACGCGCGCUACACUGACACAGGCAACGAGCUUUCCUUUACCGAAAGGUAUGGGUAAUCUUUUGAAACUGUGUCGUGCUGGGGAUAGAUCCUUGCAAUUUUUGAUCUUAAACGAGGAAUUCCUAGUAAGCGCGAGUCAUCAACUCGCGUUGAUUACGUCCCUGCCCUUUGUACACACCGCCCGUCGCUACUACCGAUUGAAUGUGCUGGUGAAAAGUUCGGAUUGGGAAUAGGAGACGGCAACGUAUCCUGUUUCUGAGAAAAUCUUUAAACCCUCCCAUUUAGAGGAAGGAGAAGUCGUAACA